rnacentral:lncRNA from 1 species
UUUUUUUUUCUUUUUCUUAUUACAUCCACACAACCAUGAGCAUUUUCUUUGAUUUUUUUUUCUUUACUUUUUUCUUUGCUCUAUGGCUUCAAGGGUGUUUUCUUUUUCUUGUUUCUUUUCAAAUUUUUACCCUUUCAUAAAAACUCACUUUUCCAAGUUUCUAAUCAACUUUUCACUUUACUCUCCCCAACUUUAGAUUCCAAAACCAAAUUUAUUCA